UUCCUUCACUGCUUCACACGAAACCCUAGCCUCCUUCUUCCUUUGGCUUGAAGCUUCUACCGUAACGUUUGGAGGAUUAUAUUCAUGAAUUGUAGUGAUUUGGAAGCCAAAAUUUCGUCAAUUUAGUUUGAAUUUUAUCAUCUGAUGUAGAUAUCUAUGGUUACGUGAUUGUGUGAAUUGCAUCGUGAUCGAUUUAUGGAGUUUGUUAGGUAAUGGUUCCAACUACCAUAGGUGAAUGCAAUACUAUUGAUGCUAAACAUAGUUUUUGGAAGUGGAAGUCCUUUCCAGAAUGUUGAACUUGCUUUCUUUUAUGGUGUUGGGGAAGCAGUUAUGUGUUAAAGAGAAGCAGUUAGAUGUGAGAUGCAAAUGACACACGAAGAAUGGAGCACUACCUAAGAUGACAGUCACAUCGACAAGUGGCUACAACGUUGAUUAAGCAGUUCCAUUUGUUAACCUUCUGGGGUAGCCCAGUUGGCCAGCCUCACCCAGCCUCUUCUUGAGGUCACCGGUUCGAUUCCCGGCAAUGCCCUAAUGGGGUGUUGGGGCUCUUCACCGUGGGUAAUCACCGUCAGGCAGCUAUGGGGCUAAGCUAGCUUGCAGAGUUGCAAUACUCCGGCGGAUGGGAGGUCCGUGCAACUACCCCCCCUCCAUUUGUUGAGUGGGUCUGGAUAGGCCAUAGCCCAGAACAAUCGCGGAAUCGCCUGCUGGAAGAUUUACAUUUACACGUGGCAACAUAUUUGGUAUAGUAAUUCUUCAAGGCGUCAACCUUUUCUUUCUGUAUGGCGUGGCAAUUGCAGGUUAGAUUAAGGGCGGGAUUAGGUGUAAUCAAUGUCGUUCUCAAGGAUAACGUAGCUACUGAGACAUGGCCGAUUUAGACGGGAUGAUAUUUGUAGACACUUUUACAGGGUUGCUUUACCCGUUUCUACUUGCUUUGGUCAACUCAAGUUGGGUGUAUGGAAACAAAGGUUGUACAUGUGCAUUUGUAGCUGUACAUGUUUGACCCAUAUCAUGAAUUAGGUAUAAUGUAAUAUGGUAUCUAUUUAAAUUGUUUAUCAAGUAUUGCUAAAGUUUGAAACACUUGAUGAAAGGAACACUUUUAAUGCACUUAUGCAAUGAAAGAUGUAUAUUGUUAAUUUGAGAUUAAUAAAAAAUCAUUAGCUGUGAAGCAUGAGUAAGUUGGACACAAUUCUGAUCUCUUAUUACCAAAUUUUAGGGGGUCCCCUUGGAUAAGCAUAGCCAACGCGAUCUUUAUAUAAUAGGAUUUCAGUUUGCAAGUUUUUGUUUUAAGGGUAUUUGUGUCAUCAUUUUGUUUCUUAAACAAUGUUUUCAAAACUAGAUCGGACAUCGAACCGGUAGCCUUACUGGUUCACUUGUCGGGUCGGACUGGUCGAACCGAUAGGAGUGGAUUUGAGAUAUCACAAUAGUUAGUUAAAAAUUUAUAAAUAAAUAUACAAGUUUUUAUAAUAAAAAUAUCCUUUAGUUUGAUUAUGAUUUAUCCAAACAUAUUAAAAUCAAUGGUUAUUAGUAGUUUUUAAUCUUAAAAUAGUUUUUUUUGUAUGUUUCAUUUAUAAAGCAAGUACUUUUGUAUAUUUGAGAUUGUUUUCAUUAUAAUAAAGAUUAAUCCUUCACCAAUAAAAGGUGAUAUACAUUAUAAAAUUCAUAUAAGCACCAUAGAUACAAGAAUCCCAUCUUAGUUAAGCUGGAAAAUCUUACACUCUUUAGUUAUUGGGGGUGAUGAUAAUGUGGUACUAGCUCUAUUUCACCACAGUAAUUAGUGGAUUUUGAAGCAAACGUAGGUCUGCCCAUGUCUAUACUUUCUUGCAGGAACAUUGUGGUAAUGGGUAAUAAUUUUGUUAUUAACUUAUAUGUCUAUGUUUCCUUGUGUAUUGACAAAUUGAAUUAAUCCCUAAGGAAUCAUUGAAGACAAUAAAGGAAGCUUCAAUCAAAUGCUCCAAGAUGCUAUGAUGACCGUCAAGCAUUACGGUCGCGGGUCAGGGUCAGGGGCUACAACACUUGGGAAACCUUUUGCUCAUCCUGCUACCGUGGGUUUGAGAGACAAAGUAUACGAGCUGCUUAGACAAAAUGCAACAAGAUUCUUGCUGGAUGAUGUCUACAGAAACCCCGGCCCCCUUCAGUUUGAGGGGCCAGGUGCUGAUUCCAAAGCUGUCAAGGCAUUUGUUUGGUGAUAAUAAUUUUGUGUACUUAAUGUGUAUAAUUUGUGGUUGGUUAGGUUGGAAACAACAAUCCACUUUUUUUAGUAAUUUAUGUAAUAUGUCAUUUUAUUUGCAUUAA